UCUCGUAGGCUCCGCUGUAGCUCGCAAUGUGACACCAGGACGCACACGCUCUCGCGCGCUCUACCAGGCUCGCUCUCCCUCGCCCUCUCGCUCACACACGCACGCACACACCCACCUCUCCCAUAAACACACACACACACAUGCACACCCACAUCCACGCGCGCCCGCACCGCCCCACGCGCGCACACUCCCGUCCACGCCCACGCCGCGCUCCGGGGAGUCCGGUCCCGGCUAGAGCGCGAAAGGAUACGGAGAAGCCACCCGCGGGGAGCGCAGCGGCGCCCCGGGACGCGGCGCCCUCCCCGCGCGGCCGCCUCGGCUCAGACUCGGCCUGGGGGCCGCCGGCCGGCGAUGGCCCUGGAUUGCCUGCUGCUGCUCCUCCUGGCAUCCGCAGUGGUCGCUAUGGAAGGUAACGUACCCUUCGCGGAGCAAGUUGGCGG
rnacentral:lncRNA from 1 species